rnacentral:rRNA from 1 species
AUCAUUAAGCGGAGGAAAAGAAACUAACCAGGAUUGCCUUAGUAACGGCGAGUGAAGCGGCAACAGCCCACACUGAAAAUCGCUUCGGCGAAUUGUACAGUGAAGACGUAUACCUUACAGCGAAGUGCUCUCGUAACUCACUUGGAACAGUGGACCAAAGAGGGUGCUAGUCCCGUGCCGGGAGCAUUUUGCUGAUAGGUGGCGUUCUAAGAGUCGGGUAGUUUGGGAUUGCUGCCCUAAUUGGGAGGUAGACUCCUCCUAAGGCUAAAUAUUGAUGAGAGACCGAUAGUGUACAAGUACUGUGAAGGAAAGAUGAAAAGAACUUUGGAAAGAGAGUUAAAAGACUUGAAACCGUUGAGGGGGAAGCAGUGUGCUUGGUACAGCUACUCUUGGGUAGUAGAGUCAGUAGUCUGGGAUCUGCGAAUUAGCUUAAUCCGUGUGAUUUGGCGGAACACGCAUUGAACGGGUACUGGCGCCGGGUACACUGGCCCGUCUUGAAACACGGACCAAGGAGUCCAGCUUAUGUGCAAGUAGAGGGGCUAAAACCCAGAUGCGUAACGAAAGUGAUCUCUGUGGCAGCAGAGGCCGCGUUAGCGAGCUCAGCAGAUAAGCUGGGACCCGAAAGAUGGUGAACUAUGCUUGGGAAAGGCGAAGCCGGGGGAAACUCUGGUGGAGGCUUGUAGAGGUACUGACGUGCAAAUCGUUCUUCUGACCUGAGUAUAGGGGCGAAAGACUUAUCGAACCAUCUAGUAGCUGGUUCCCUCCGAAAUUUCCCUCAGGAUAGCUGGAGCGUGGCAGUUUUACCGGGUAAAGCGAAUGAUUAGAGGUUCGGGGGUUGAAACGACCUUCACCUAUUCUCAAACUUUAAAUUGGUAAGAUGAUUAAGUUACUUCAGUGAACUUGAUCUUGAAUGCAAGCUCCAAGUGGGCCAUUUUUGGUAAGCAGGACUGGCAACGAGGGGUCAACCUAAGGUGAGGUUGAGGCGACAAAUUGACUGCUCAUAGAUGGAAAGGUGUUGGUUCAUUUAGACAGUAGGACGGUGGCCAUGGAAGUCGGAAUCCGCUAAGGAGUGUGUAACAACUCACCUACCGAAUGGACUAGCCCUGAAAAUGGAUGUCGCUAAGCAGUUAGCCGAUACCUCACCGUCUGAUUUGACGUGAUCAGACGUGUAGGAGGGCGUGAGGUUAGCGCUGAAGUACAAGUGUGAACUUGUAUGGAGCUGCUCUUAGUGCAGAUCUUGGUGGUAGUAGCAGCUAUUCAAGUGAGACCCUUGAAGACUGAAGUGGAGAAGGGUUUCAUGAGAACAACAUUUGGUCAUGAGUGACUCGGUCCUAAGGCCAGGGGUAAUCCCGUGACGACUCUGUCCAGGCCAAAAGGGAAUGAGGUUAAAAUUCCUCAAGCUAGCGAUGGGUCUUAUGUGGCAACACAACUGAGCUCAGAGACGUCGGAGCGAGAUCCCAGGGAGAGUUCUCUUUUCUUCUUAACAAGUCCCUGCCCUGGAGGUUAUUAUAACGAGAGAGGGCUAUAGGCUUGGCAGAGCAGUGCACCCUUUGCACUGUCUGGUGCGUCUCCUUCGAUCCUUGAAAAUCUGAGGGAACUUUGAUCGCUUGCUAGGCCGUACCCACAACCGC